rnacentral:tRNA from 1 species
GGGGCUGUAGCUCAGCAGCAGAGCACUUGCCUAGCAUGCAUGAGGCAUUGGGUUUAAUCCUCAGCACUA